UUAUCACACCUAUUUCUUGCGCCCCCUAUUUUUCUUGUAUUUUUGCCUACUAAAAAAGACUGGACAUACCCCAUUUGCAAUACCUUGGGUUGUCUACUUUUGCAAAUGGUAUGCCAUCAUGGGGGUAAUUCUCAUUCCUGGGCUACCAUACGGUCUCAAAGGCAACGUAACCAAUCUGGAAAAUUUCAAUGUGAAAAAAAUGCAACAUGCUAUAUUUGACCCUGUAACUUCCCAAAACACCAUAAACCUGUACAAGGGGAUACUGUCUUACACGUGAGACAUCGCUGAAUACAAAUAUGUGUAUUUUAUUGCAGUAAAAGCAAACAGUAUUAUGACAUUCACAGUUAAAAUGUCACGUAGAACUACGUUUUUUUUUUUUUAUUCUUAUUUUCUCCCACUUGUUUAUAUUUUAUUCAUAUUCAAUUAUGUUUCAUACCUAAAUAUUUGAUGUUAAAUGAAAGCCCUGUUUCCCCUCAAUAAAAUGAUCUAUAAUAAGUGUGGGUUCACAUAAUGUGAAAGAGGUGAAUUACGCCGGAACAGGCAUUUAGCGCAAAUUCAAGUUUUUGUUUACGUUUUGUUUUGACCACAACGUGUACAUUUGGCUUAGUCCUUAAAGGGUUAAUAAUGAUUUUUAAUUAUUUACUUAUUUUUACAUUAUUUAUGAUUAUUUUUCAUAUUCAUUAUUUUUUCAUUUUAAUUUUCCCUUGUAUUUUAGUUUUCUUUUUCUUUUUUUUGUAUAACUACUAUCUGUACUUUCAGGUUAAAUUAGUUUUUUUCUGAGACAUCAUACUGGCAUCCCCUUGUCAGGUAUACUCUGGCAUUCAUGCCGCCGUCAGAACCCACUUCCGGGUUCGCGGCGCUUAGCCCCACCCCUUUUUCUGACGCGGUCCUUCCAUGAUACUUAGGAAGACCGUGCCAGAUUCAAAGGGCUGGAUUAUUCACUCAGGUGCUGCAUAGAGAUCAGCUGCUCUACUUUGAUGCUACCAGCUCCACUUCUCGACCUCGGCUUGUAAAACGGAUUUCUACCUUCUCCACUUCUCGACCUCGGCUUGUAAAACGGAAUUCUACCUUCUCCUCUCCCAGACCUCGGCUUGUAAAACGGACUUCCUCACUCUCCACUCCUAAUUCUCAGCUUGUUAAUUCAGGCUUCUAAAUUCUCCUCCAUUGGGUGAAUUAACCCUUCCAGUGCCAGAACUGCCUCUAAGUUAAGUAAAACUUUUGCCAAGGAAAUCAAUUCAUAUUAUUUAUGUUAUACAAUAUUUAAACCUCACUAAACUGUCACUUGUUAAUCAAUUACUUUUAUUCAUAAGGGAUUGCUACUAAGGCUAAUUAUUCCUGCAAUAAUCAAUUUAUUUAAAUUGCAUAAUUCCUGCAUGUGUAUUUAAAGAUACAGUCACCAUUGUUUAAUUUCAGUAUAAAAGGAGGUGAAACCUAUUAUUGCUGCAAUCAGAAAAUCUGCAGUUGAGUUCCAAUUAAAGAAGUAUUACAAAAUAAGUAUCACACCCCUUAUGUUUUCAUUAUGUAUUUUUGGCCUUAUUUUUAUUAUUGUAUGUUCUGAUCAGAAUGCGUGCCUGUUGGUAUAUAUUUCCAGAUCCCCACAUGGGACUGAACUGGAGAGAGUUCUAGCAUUUCACUGUGUAUCUCAUAUUCAUGAGGAAGUCGAGGCUGGACGAAAUUCAUUGCAUUGCUGCUGGAUUGCUGCUAUUAGUUUUUAUUUUAUUUGGUUUUAUUUAGCUUUUAAUUUUUAUUCCGCUGCUUCCACAUCUUUUACUUGGAAAGUGCCCCAUUGGUUGAGAGUGAUUUUUUUUUCCAUUUGGCUCACUUGCAGUGGAGACAUGCC